GCAGCCUAAUUAAUGGACCAUCUCUUCUCCAACGAUGAAACACCGCUGAUGUACACCACUUGUCCGUCCGCUCAUCUCCAGUUACUCCUCUAAUUGUUUGGUGUGCUUCCUUUCCUCCUCCUUCUCGAUUUCUUUCGUUUUCUUUUCUUUUUUUGUAUUAGAUAUUAUUUUAUCUUCUUUUUCUUCCUUAUCUUUUCCCAUUUGUAUGUGCCACUUCCAUUUGUCGUGAUCUUUUGGAAGAACCAUCAAAGGAGCAUAAACACGACUCAUCUCACCAGCUUGUAUGUAAAUGCUGCCAAAUCUCUGGCAUCACCGGAACAUCACCUAAAAAGCAAAAAUUUUAAUUUUUUUGUAUUUUGUAUUUUUAAUUUAUUUUAAUUUCUAGUAUUUCUCUGUAUUUUUUUUGGUUUUGCUGUAUUUUAGUUUUUUAUUUUUUUUAAAUAAAUUUUAUCUAUUCUGUUGGAAUUCUGUGGGGAUCAAUGGGUUAUUUUUCCACCAAUUGUCAAUGAAUAUUUCCGACCG